GACGAACGCUGGCGGCGUGCUUAACACAUGCAAGUCGAACGGAAAGGCCCUGCUUUUGUGGGGUGCUCGAGUGGCGAACGGGUGAGUAACACGUGAGUAACCUGCCCUUGACUUUGGGAUAACUUCAGGAAGCUGGGGCUAAUACCGGAUAGGAGCUCCUGCUGCAUGGUGGGGGUUGGAAAGUUUCGGCGGUUGGGGAUGGACUCGCGGCUUAUCAGCUUGUUGGUGGGGUAGUGGCUUACCAAGGCUUUGACGGGUAGCCGGCCUGAGAGGGUGACCGGCCACAUUGGGACUGAGAUACGGCCCAGACUCCUACGGGAGGCAGCAGUGGGGAAUAUUGCACAAUGGGCGGAAGCCUGAUGCAGCAACGCCGCGUGCGGGAUGACGGCCUUCGGGUUGUAAACCGCUUUCGCCUGUGACGAAGCGUGAGUGACGGUAAUGGGUAAAGAAGCACCGGCUGACUACGUG
rnacentral:rRNA from 1 species